UCACAUUUAUCAUUCUAUGUGGCUGAUACUAUUAUUACGAGGGCGAAUAUAAACUUUUUAUUACGAAUAUAACUUAGGCAGAAAAGAAACGAAGAAGGGAGAAGAAUAAAAAACUUUCCAUGUGCAACCAACCAAAACCCUUCAAGACCAACAAAACCCAGCACUAGCGUGCUUAGCUACAACACGUGUAUAGAUCACAAUCCUUGUA
rnacentral:lncRNA from 1 species